AUGGGGUUUCACCAUAUUGAUCAGGCUGGUUUUGAACUCCUGAUCACACACACACACCCUACACUCCUAGCUUAAUAUCCUAUUAUCACUUGGUAUUAUUCAAAGAAUGAAAACCAAACUUUUUACCAUGACCUCAGGCCUUAUAUGGUCUCUCCUCUACCUUCCUCAUCCAGCCGUAUCUUGUAUAACUCUCCCUCCUUGCCCUCUGUAUUCCAGCUUCUCAGCUUUCUCUUUCUUCUGCCAUAGGUCCUUCGCAUUGAUGUCUUCUCUAAAUGAAAUACUAUACCCUACCAGUCCCCCUUCUCCUAGUCCAUGCCUGCUUCAGCCUUCAACUAUCAGCUUACAUCUUUAGGGUGUAUUUUCUGAACUCCUUUGUCAAGUCAGUCCUUUGCAAUGUACUCUCACAAAAGUUUGUUUCUCUCCCUCAGAUCAUUUAUCUCACACUUUCAUUAGAGCAAUUAUUUGAUUAUUGUUUUAUCCCCCAUAGACUAUAAGCUUUAGCAUUUGGAAUACAAUGAUAAAUAUUGUCCUUACUGUUAAAAACUCGGAAGAGUUUAUGACUUUAGUAAGGAAGACAAACCUGUGAGAGAUGUAAGUACCUACCAUGUGUGGGGGAGAUCUUUGGAAGCUCAGUGAACCUUCCUUCCCCUCCUGUGUUGAUAUAACCAGGUGACAACCCAGCAAUUCCAGCUUUCCCUUUCACUGUAGGCCUGGUCCUCCUGGCCCUGUGCUUACUCAGAACCUAAAUGCUCCAUGAAACCUCAGCAACUAAGGUCAUCAUUUUGUUUAUAGAAGUGAGACACAUUUUAUGCAGUCUAGCAUUGUAGGUUGCUGUGCCCCCAAAGGGGGAAUACCAACAAACAGAUUAUUUAAAAGGGUUAUAUUUAGAUUGAGAAAUGGGAUAAAUUUCACCAUUUGAUAAAUGAGAGAAGAGUGGCUUAAACAAUAACCACUUCAAUUUGAAAAAUGUUGGAUUAUCUAAAAGGAUCCAGAAAAGUAAAAUUAAUUCACAGCAAUCUGUAGGAUGAACUAGUAGAAGGAGUGGAAGUUGAAAAACUAUUGGAUAAAAUCACAAUAUGAGAACUGUUCAUACUUUAAGGAACACAUAGGUGGUUUCUUUAAAACUCCAGAUGUUUUAUGGUCUAUGUUACCUAUUUAAAGGCUUUGCGAGAGACAGCUUUGCUGGGAGUUGCUGGGCGGCUUUUGUGGGAUCGGCGGCAUCAGGGAUCCGCUGCGGCGUGUCUUUGGCAUGGCUCAGCCCCUGGUGCGCCGCGCGGCAGGCAGAGCUCACAUUCCUGUUCCCUGGCUGGUCGGGGAUCCAGACACCGCGUCGACGGCGGCUUCGCAGGACGCGCGGACCGAAUCACAGUCCAUGCCCCAAGCGGACUACAUUAUGAGGCAUCUGCCUUCUGCCGCGGUCAAGUGGUGCAUGGCUUCGGCCACGGCUCCAAGCAGCUGAGCAUCCCCACAGCUAAUUUUCCUGAGCAAGUGGUAGAUAAUCUUCCAGCUAAUAUAUCCACUGUCAUUUAUUAUGGUUGGGCCAGUGUUGGAAGUGGAGAUGUCCAUAAGAUGGUGGUGAGCAUAGGCUGGAACCUAUAUUACGAGAAUAUUAAGAAGUCCAUGGAAAAACAUACCAUGCACACCUUCAAAGAGGACUUCUAUGGGGAAAUCCUCAAUGUGGCCAUUGUGGGCUACCUCAGACCAGAAAAGAACUUUGAUUCUUUAGAGUCACUUAUUUCAGCAAUUCAAGGUGAUAUUGAGGAAGCUAAGAAACGACUAGAUUUACCAGAACAUUUGAAAAUCAAAGAAGACAAUUUCUUCCAGGUUUCCAAAAGCAAAACAAUGAAUAGCCACUGAUGAAAAAUUGUAUUAUUUAUUCACUCAUUGUUUUCUAGUGUUUCUGUGUUUAUUACUGUCCAGCCUCAUCUUGGUUAUGUUUUAAAAAUCAAACACUUUCCUACAGUUGUGAAUUAAACAGUACAAUGUAGUUACCAUAUCAUGCUUCAGCUGUUAAAUGAAGCCCAUCAUGUCAUAGUACUAAAAAGAUUCAUUUAAAAAUCAAGAUUUAAAAAAUACAUAUUGAUUAAAAUGUACGACUAGAAAGGUAUUACUUGUGUAUAAGUAUGGGUAAAAAGGCAAGUCACUAGUUUGAGAUGAAAAAUGAAAUUUUCAUGGUAAAAUACCAGCAUGUAUGUACUUGUAGUGUAUACUUCUAAACAAAGAAGGCUUACAAAAGUAAAUGCAUUAAGGCCAAGUGCAGUGGCUCUUGCCUGUAAUCCCAGCACUUUGGGAGCCGAGGUGGGAGGAUUGCUUGAGCUCAGGAGUUCAAGACCAGUCUGGGCAACAUAGCGAGACCCCAUCUCUAUUAAAAAAAAAAAAAAGGGAAUGCAUUAUAUAGAAAAUUGAUAGUUUAUCAUAAACCUACAGGGAAGAAACCCAGACUUUGUAUUUUUGAUAUUUUGUGCGUUAAUACAUUACAAACAUGAAGAUGUUUGUAAAAUUUUGUUUUAGUCAUUUUCUUUGAAGUCACAUCAUUGUACCAUCUUCAUUUUUGUAUAGAGCUGCUUCAAUUCUAAGUCCUCUGGACUUCCCCUAUCUGUUUUUUGUUGUUGUUGAAGACAGUAAAAUAAGUGUUUUCAAAUCUUAAAAAAAAAAAAAGGCUUUGAAACCUUAUUGAUAGUGUUUUUCACUGGAGAAGGAAGUACUAGUUUUUUCUCUUAAUCAGACCUACUUCCUUCAGGUUCCUAAAAGGAUAAAACUCUGAUUCUCCC